rnacentral:rRNA from 1 species
ACAGCAGCAGCCGCGGUAACACGAAGGGUGCAAGCGUUAAUCGGAAUUACUGGGCGUAAAGCGUGCGUAGGCGGUUUGUUAAGUCUGUUGUGAAAUCCCCGGGCUCAACCUGGGAAUGGCAAUGGAUACUGGCAAGCUAGAGUGUGUCAGAGGAUGGUGGAAUUCCCGGUGUAGCGGUGAAAUGCGUAGAGAUCGGGAGGAACAUCAGUGGCGAAGGCGGCCAUCUGGGACAACACUGACGCUGAGGCACGAAAGCGUGGGGAGCAAACAGGAUUAGAUACCCCUGUAGUCCCUGUCUCUUAUAC